AAUCACAGUGAUGGCUGACCAGGGUCCCUGACCCAUUCAGGCGUCUGCUAUGGGAGUGAUGGGCCAGCCCUGCUGUCUGAGUGGUU
rnacentral:snoRNA from 1 species